CCCUAGCGCUGAUAGCAGCGGCAUCCCGCGCUUUUUCUGCGCGGAUAUAGCGAAUAGCAGGAAAUAGC
rnacentral:sRNA from 1 species